UUUUAAGAUGCUUCACACGCAGACUCACGCAGCCUGAGGCUUGUCGGCCCGGUAUUUAAGUCAGAGCCAUAAUAGAGACGGCGUAAACAUUAAGCUCAUCGUUCAAGACUCACUUACAGACGACUGCUGCUGAGUUUAAGAGCAAAGACAUGAGGGCUCUGAUUUUCUUCCUGCUCUUCGUCCUUGUGGUUGGACUCUAUGCGAGGAAAACUCCAUCCGCUGAAGAUGUUAAAGCUAUUCUAGAGAAAAAGGGCUUUCCAAAAAUUCUGGACACUCGCUUUGCCAGCCUGGAGAUCGGCGGUAAAGGCUCCAGCCACAAGAAAGGAAAGACACACAAACAUGGCAAAAAAGAAAAACCCGGGCCAUGAUGGGAAACAGCUUUGAAGACCUUCUAAAUCUGUCUUAAUCUGUUUGACCCAAAUGAUGCUGAAUAAUAAACACAGCAAUGAAAUAUA